rnacentral:rRNA from 1 species
UACGUAGGUGGCGAGCGUUGUCCGGAAUUAUUGGGCGUAAAGGGCGCGUAGGCGGUUAUUUAAGUCAGCUGUGAAAACUCUGGGCUCAACCCAGAGAUUGCAGUUGAAACUGGGUAGCUUGAGUGCAGGAGAGGACAGUGGAAUUCCUAGUGUAGCGGUGAAAUGCGUAGAUAUUAGGAGGAACACCAGUGGCGAAGGCGGCUGUCUGGACUGUAACUGACGCUGAGGCGCGAAAGCGUGGGUAGCAAACAGGAUUAGAUACCCUGGUAGUCCACGCCGUAAACGAUGGGUACUAGGUGUAGGAGGUCUCGACCCCUUCUGUGCCGGAGUUAACACAAUAAGUACCCCGCCUGGGGAGUACGGCCGCAAGGCUGAA